AAUACAGAGGUGGCAAGCGUUGUUCGGAAUUACUGGGCGUAAAGGGCGCGUAGGCGGUCUUUUAAGUUCCGUGUGAAAUCCCUCGGCUCAACUGAGGAACCGCACGGGAAACUGGAAGGCUUGAGUUCGGGAGAGGGAAGCGGAAUUCCGGGUGUAGCGGUGAAAUGCGUAGAUAUCCGGAGGAACACCGGUGGCGAAGGCGGCUUCCUGGACCGACACUGACGCUGAGGCGCGAAAGCUAGGGGAGCAAACGGGA
rnacentral:rRNA from 1 species